GACGCACAACGCCUCGUGGCAGCCAAUGAAAAGGAGGACCAGGCCGAGGGGGUGGGACCCGAGAGGCCUAGGGCCAAUCAGAGGUCAGAGUGGCUAGCCAAUCGGCGGUGGCGUGAGGACGCCUCUUGGGAAGGUGGACCAAUAAGAUCAGGGAAUGUGGAAAGGGCGGUGCGCCGCAGUUGAGCGGACCAAUGAAAGCCGGUCGCGUGGAACUAGAGCCCGCGGACCCUGGCCAAUGCGGAAGGCUCACGUGGGGAGGAAAACACGAGCGGAAGGAGCCAAUAGGAAGUAGUGAGUGCUUGGGUGGGCGUCGCCCCAGGGCAGGCGCUCUGGCAAGCCGGAGGCCCAUUGGAAGCCCGGGUGAGAGGAAUGUUGGGAGCGGCGCCAGGAUUUAACCUGCACAGUCUAGGCUUGGAGACUCCUUUCUGGGAGGGCCCCCAAGUCAAGAGCCAUCCUCGAGCUGCAGGAGGGGGCCCAGAAGAAAUGGAAACGGGGUCAAAUAGGCAGUGAUGGCGGGAGCCCCGCCUCCCUGCCCUCCCUCUGCAGCCCCGCUGAGUCAGAGACUUGGCAAUCCCCCCCAGCGCUAGGCGCUUGGGGGGCUGGGAUUGGCCUCCGGGAAGAAGGUGCUGGUCGCCGCUCCCGCCCUCCCUCCUUUCUUUGCGGCUCCUGCUCUUGCCUCUGAGCUCCAGCUCUUCUUUUCUCGCCUUUUGUCUGCGAGCAUCUCCGAGGCCAGGGUUUGGGGGAGACUCUACCUACUGAGCCUUCCUGCCGCCCCUCCCCCUUCCCCUCCCUUUUAGUGAUCUGUGCACCCGGCCUGCCCCCUUGUCUACCCAGAGUAACCCUUGCUGAAGCUCGUGGGCAGGCACCCAGCGAGGGUUCCCAGUGGGUGAGCAGCAGGAAGCUGUGAAUCCUGGGCCUGGGCAGUCAGAGCUCUUUGGAAGCUGGGGUUGGGCCAGGGACAAGAAGUCCCGCCAGAAGCCCUGGCUUUCUGCUCAGCUGAGUUUGGGGAUGAGUGAAGAGCUGGCUUUCCUUUCUUGCCUUCUGGAGAGAGUUUACUUCCAGUGCGCUGCAGCAAUAUGUGUGCUUCGGGAUAUUGUCCUCAAAUAGAAACUCUUGAAAGUCAUUUUGACUUGAGCCAGAAUGUUUUAAACCGGCCACCACCACAUUAUUUAUACUUCUCAUAUUUUCGUCAAGCCAUUCCUUUGAAAUCCUUAGACCUCCUCAUUGGACUGUGAGCUCCUCGAAGGCAGCAGGGACUGCGUGGCCCGCCAGUGCUUUGUGCUCUGCCUGUGAUCAUGACUAAAGUGCACUGACUAACUAACGGCUGGAGAGGGGCGAGAAGAGAGAGCAGCAGCAGCAACAAAGGGGGCAGUUGGCAGAAGAGGGCUCAGGGGUGCUGAAGGCAUCUGGGACCUCCGUGAGGAUGGGUGCAUCUGAGCAAGUGACCUCUGCUGCAGUGUGGUCUAGAAGGGCCUCCGUGCAGUAACUUGAGGGAGCUCAAAGUAAAGGAAUGAAACCUGGAUACAUGGACAAGGGAGUCACUGGCCAAAAAGAAAAGAAACAGCAGGGAGGAAGGGAUGACCCUGAACCCAGAGAAGACUUGGAAGAAACGUGAGCGAAGGGAAAGCUCUCUAGGCCCAGAGUCGGCUUCUGGCCUCUGGGAGAAGAUGCUAAAAGGAAGGGAGGAGGAGGAGGAGGAAAAUCAAGAAGAAAGGUCUUCAAGAGAGGGUGGAUGGCCAGGGACCUCAGCAGCCUUGAGUUCAGCCAAAUGAGAGGGAUCCAACAAAGUGGUCAUCCACCCUCUGCUAGAAAACUGCUGGGGAGGAGUGGCCUUGCCCCAAGCGCCCCCCCCUUCUGGCCUAAAUUAAUUAAUUGGACACUGCAGCUUCCCCUUAGUUCCCCUGGCUCUGCCCACUGGACUUUAGCAGCAUGCCUUCCUUCAACCAUCUCACCCUUCCUCCCUUCUCCCAUUGGUGAGUUCCUCCAGCAGCUGCCAUUCAGCUCAGGGUAGCCAUCCCUCCACCUCCCCCCUUUCUGGACUUUCAGAGCCUCCCUCCUCUGCUCCUGUGCAGUGAACCUUUCAUGACCUCAUGGAAUAGAGUUCCUCUUCCCAGGUGUUUGUGCCAUACCAUUCCUGCGGAGUACGACAAAACAUAGUAAUCUCCCUUCAAGGCUGCAUGAACAGUUCCAAGAUCUCCUGGGAACGGGUUAACUCCCCUGUUCACACUCUGGGGAGGAUAGAGUGUGCCUCUUGAGAAGAGCUUUCAAUCUGAUGUGCUGCUUACAAUAAACGUUCAUUAUUCCUCUUUGAUAAUGUUCCAGUCUUGCUUUCUUGGGACUCCAUAGCUGUUCUCCGACAGCUCUAAGCUGUCCCCUAUUGCGACUCUGUGGACACCAUUUCCCCCCGGUUCUUUUAUUGGAACCCUCCCUUCGGUUCUCUUUGGAGAAUCUCCGACUUGUCCAGUUCUUUCGAGAACCCCCGACGCUGUGUCCUAGUCAUGCAGAGUUUCGACACUACGGAGAUCCCCUCGGUGGGUGAUGGGCUUAGAGCCUAGGAAGAGAGGUUGGAGAAACUGGACCUGUUUAGCCUCAGUCUCCAGAGCAUGAUGGCUGUCGGGAGGAAGAGAGAUUUGGCUUGUUUGGCUGAUGAUGACUUGGAGGUGUGCAGAGAAGAGGCAGCUGGAACAGAGGGCCUCUCUUUUCCCACUCAUCAGUGCUCGGUACAUAGUAGGGAUGAUGCCAAUGCUUGUUCCCUUCCCUACUUAGUCAGAUACCCAAACCACCAUAACUUGCCGCCCUUUGACAGAGGGAUGAAGGCUGCCAAGAAAAGGGGUGACCCACCCCCAGCAAUGCACCCAAGGGAACAUGGAACCGGUCAUUGAUUAGUGUGGGGCCACCUUUCCGGUAAGACAUAAGGGUGGGCCACUUAGACUCACAAAGAUGAGAAAACGCCCUUGGAUCUUUAGACACAGCCUGCAUCCUUGGGCGGGGCCCCUGGACCGGAGGCACGGGGAUUCGCUUUCCCAGCCACACAGGACUACAGUCAAACAAUGCCCAGUUGCCAUAGUCGCUGCCCAUUUUGGUGCCUGGGCAGAUAGAGCAAAAUGCCCCCCAUGAGCACCCUCCUCCCCUUCCUCAGCCACAUAGAGAUGGUCAGACCCUUAGUCUUGCCCACUUUACCCACAAAAGUCCCGCCUGAUUGGCCUUUCACCUCUCUUUGCCUUCCCUUACAUAACCCAAACUCUUCAUCUAUACCUCUAGAUCUGCAUCAUCUACAUAGGGGAGCUCCUGGCUUAAAAUUGUAGCUUGUGGCUCACUCUGAUUACCCGACCACCCUCGUGAGCUCUGAGCCAGCAGGUUUGGGUAGGAACUAGACUGGGAAGGGGAACGUGGAAAUCUAGUACAAAGUGUCCCCAGAUCACAGGAGCAGCAUUUACAAAGGAUGUCACAUGGUAAGCCAAAUUCCUAGCCUGCUAAUUAACCCCGAGGCGGACUUGUUGGGAUUUCCAGGCCUUUGAUGUUGAAAUUCCAGAAUCAGUCCAGACCUUCCGGAGCCCAGAGCAGCAGAACAUCCAGAGGGGCUCAGAGCUUUGGGAUGUUGGCUUUGACAGUUUACCAACAACUCGCAGAUGAUGUGGAUGUGGUGAUGAGCUAAUUCCAAGGAGCCACGGCCCUCCCAGACCUAUAAACUCCUCGAACUCCUGACUCCCUUUAGAGGGUCCAGGCUGUGGCAUCCUCCCCCCCGACUCUGCUGAUAGGUGGCUAUGGGAGUGAUGCUCUCUCCUUGUCCCACUCCCCAUCGCCUUCCAUAAUCCCCGUCUCCACUCCCCAUCCCGUUACCCAUCCUAUGCAUCCCUCUGCACUUUCUGCCACUUUUCUCUGUGCCUUUGUGAUUGCUGCCCUGUUUCCCAUGAGCAAUUAUGGCUUUCUUGGCAAAGUACCCAAAGAACUGGGCUUUCCUGACCCCAUUUCAUCAUUUGAGAGUUUCAUAAAGUCAUUAUCAAUCUACCUCCAGUCUCUCCCUCCCAGGCAGCAGCCACUCUCCUCUUCUCCCCAUUGGGGCCCCUUGGGGAGCCAGUCCAGAUCUACAGUCUUGGAUCUCUCACCCCCUUCUUCCAUUGCCAGUUGUGCCUAGCCAGGUCUCAGCCUCGGAUCCCUCCCAGUGUUGUCCCUUGGCUCUUCUACACCUGAGCCGCUGGACAAAUCUGGAGGAAGUCAUGUCCCGUUUCGACUGGAUCGACUCCAAAGUUCUGCUGUACAACUGCCAUUCGCUCCUCUCCUCUACCAGACUGCGCCCUCUCUCAUGCUUCCUCUAGCACUUAUUCUCCAUCCCUGCCUGCUGACUCCUUCCCUAAGGCUUCCAAACGUGGUUACUGUGGAUUCCUUUCUUCUCUGCGGUGUUGUAAAGAUGUUGGGCAGAGGCAGAAUGUGCCGUUGUAGAGUCCUACAUGGUGCCAGGCACGUGCCAGGUGCUGGACAAAUACUUCACUUGGUUCUUCCUUAGUCUCUGCUAAUCAGCACAUCUGCCUGAAUUCCUGUGACUUUGAGCAAGCUGUAUGGAGACAUUUUAAACAUCCCCAUCCAGAGACCGCUAGAUCUCUUCCUUGUAAUAAUCAAGCAAAAGAGACCAACCUGCUGCCUGCAGUAAAGAAGGUUUGCCUCACAUGCCCAAUGUGGAAAUAUUUGUGGCACUUCCUGUGGACAAAGGAUGCUAUACCGCUCGCUUGUUUCUGGACAAGGAAGGCGUUGGAGGGAGAAAAAAGGGAACUCCAAAUCAUAGAAAGUCAUGGCAAAAAGAAAUCACCAAUUGAACAGAUGUCCACGUCAUUCCUCAGCCAUGGACCACCACAUCUUUUGUCAAGAGAAGCAUGUGCCCGUGGUUGAAUCCUCUUCGGGACAUCAGAGGCUGCCUGGUCCAAGCCCCUCUUUUUGCAGAUGUGGAAAUUGAGGCCCAGGAAGGUUAGCUACUUUGAUUUGAAACUAGAUGCUCAGACUUCAAAAUCACUACACCCUGCUGCCUCCCGUGAGAGACCAGAGGUCAUACGUGUGAAAAUGUAAAUUCAUUCCUAGGGCCUCUACUUCAUAAGUUUCUCUUCAAUAUAAAUGGUUCCUCUGUGUCCAAAGGGCUCUAAAACAAUGCCUACCUUUGAUCCAGUAAUACCCCUGCUGGGCCCGUACCCCAAAGAGAUCAAAAGGGGUGUCCAUCUACUUGUACACAAAUCUCUCUAGCUACACUCUUUGUGGUGGCAAAGAGCUGGAAACUAAAGGGGUGUCCCCCACCUGGAGAAUGGCUGAACACAUUGGGGUGCAGGCUGUCACUGGAAUGCUACUGUGCUCAAAGGAAUGACGAACUGCCCGAUUUCUCUAAGAACUGGAAAGACCUCCCUGACUGAUGCAGAGUGAGAGGAGCAGAACCAGGAGAACAAGGUACAGAGACUGAUACAUUGUAGCAUAAUCAAAUGUAACUGACUUCUCCUUCAUCGCCUUAGGGGAAAUGCGAUGAUCCUGAACAACCAGGAGGGAUCUACGGAGAAAGAAUACUAUCGACAUUCAGAGAAAAACUGUGGGAGCAGAAACACAGCAGAAAAGCAACUGCUUGAUUGCAUGGUUGGAGGGGGAUAUGGAGGGGGGGGAGAUGUAGACUCUGAAUGAACAUCCUAGUUCAAACACCAACAACAUGGAAAGAGGUUCUGAUCAAGGCCACAAGUAAUACCCAGUGGAAUUGUUUGUUGGCCACCCGAGGGGGAUGGGAGGAGGGGAGGGAAAGAACAUGAAUCAUGGAACCAUGGGAAAAUAUUCUAAAUUAAUAAAACUUUUUAAAAA